rnacentral:rRNA from 1 species
GAUGAACGCUGGCGGCGUGCCUAAUACAUGCAAGUCGAGCGAACGGACGAGAAUCUUGCUUUGCUGAUGUGAGCGGCGGACGGGUGAGGAACACGUGGAUAACCGACCUAUAAGACUGGGAUAACGUCGGGAAAGCGGAUCUAAUACCGGAUAAUAUUUUGAACCGCAGGGUUCAAAAGUGAAAGACGGUCUUGCUGUCACUUAUAGAUGGAUCCGGGCUGCAUUAGCUAGUGGGUAAGGUAACGGCUUACCAAGGCAACGAUGCAUAGCCGACCUGAGAGGGUGAUCGGCCACACUGGAACUGAGACACGGUCCAGACUCCUACGGGAGGCAGCAGUAGGGAAUCUUCCGCAAUGGGCGAAAGCCUGACGGAGCAACGCCGCGUGAGUGAUGAAGGUCUUCGGAUCGUAAAACUCUGUUAUUAGGGAAGAACAUAUGUGUAAGUAACUGUGCACAUCUUGACGGUACCUAAUCAGAAAGCCACGGCUAACUACGUG